UACGUAGGGGGGCUAGCGUUGUCCGGAUUUAUUGGGCGUAAAGAGCUCGUAGGCGGCCACUCAAGUCGAAUGUGAAACCUCGAGGCUUAACCUCGAGCCUGCAUUCGAUACUGGGCGGCUAGAGUCUGGUAGGGUGGUCUGGAAUUCCUGGUGUAGCGGUGGAAUGCGCAGAUAUCAGGAGGAACACCGGUGGCGAAGGCGGGAUCCUGGGCCAGUACUGACGCUGAGGAGCGAAAGCGUGGGGAGCAAACAGGG
rnacentral:rRNA from 1 species